rnacentral:rRNA from 1 species
UACGUAGGGCGCAAGCGUUGUCCGGAAUUAUUGGGCGUAAAGAGCUCGUAGGCGGCUUGUCACGUCGGAUGUGAAAGCCCGAGGCUUAACCUCGGGUCUGCAUUCGAUACGGGCUAGCUAGAGUGUGGUAGGGGAGAUCGGAAUUCCUGGUGUAGCGGUGAAAUGCGCAGAUAUCAGGAGGAACACUGGUGGCGAAGGCGGAUCUCUGGGCCAUUACUGACGCUGAGGAGCGAAAGCGUGGGGAGCGAACAGG